rnacentral:rRNA from 1 species
AUUAAACGCUGGCGGCAUGCCUUACACAUGCAAGUCGAACGGCAGCACGGGGGCAACCCUGGUGGCGAGUGGCGGACGGGUGAGUAAAGCAUCGGAACGUAUCCUGGAGUGGGGGAGUAACGUAGCGAAAGUUACGCUAAUACCGCAUAUUCUGUGAGCAGGAAAGCAGGGGAUCGCAAGACCUUGCGCUCUGGGAGCGGCCGAUGUCGGAUUAGCUAGUUGGUGGGGUAAAGGCCUACCAAGGCGACGAUCCGUAGCGGGUCUGAGAGGAUGAUCCGCCACACUGGGACUGAGACACGGCCCAGACUCCUACGGGAGGCAGCAGUGGGGAAUUUUGGACAAUGGGCGAAAGCCUGAUCCAGCCAUGCCGCGUGUCUGAAGAA